rnacentral:misc_RNA from 1 species
AAUUAUUUUCUUUAUACACUUAAAAUCUUUAAAGUAACAAGAGGUUGUUACCAAAUUUAUUUUCUUAAUAUUUUUUUUUUUACAAAUGAAAUAUAAAAUUACAUAUAUUAAUAAAAUUUUAAAUUCACCCAAUCUAUUAAUUUACUUGCUUAAGGACUUUUUGCCUAAUAUCUUCAAUUAGCAAUGUCAUGUUGAGAUAAGAAGAUCCCCCAACUUCUAUUGCUUUCUUUGCAAUCUCUCCAAGUUCUCUAGCUCUUUUUCUUCUUUCCUUUCCUUCCUCUCCUCCAUCCAUUAGGUUCUCUACUGCCCUUUUCACUUCUUCCCUCUUAACAGGCACCCCAAACUGCUGUCCCUCCUGCCAUUUCUUAGAAAACUCAGCCCCCAAUCUCACACCAAUUUUCAGUACUUGAACAAUGAACCUUUCAUUAUAAAACUGCUCAGCGAAUAAUGGCCAUGUUAUCAUUGAGAUGCCUGCACACAAACCUUCCAACGUCGAAUUCCAACCACAAUGUGUCAAGAAUCCUCCAAUGGCACGAUGUGAUAAGAUUAGCACUUGUGGCGCCCAGCCAUGGAUCAGAAGGCCUCUUCCUUUUAUUCUGGUCUCAAAUUGUUCUUCAGAUAUCCACUUCUCAAUCUCUUUUGCGCUAUUACCUCUUCUUAUAACCCAAAUGAAAGGUCGGUUAGCUGCUUCCAAGCCUAAUCCAAGCUCGAUCAGUUGCUCUAAUGUGAGGUUACUGAGGCUUCCAAGACAAACAUAGAUUACAGAGUGUGGUGCACAAUUAUCAAGCCAUUUCAAACACUGGUUUUCAUCUAUUGAGGCCUUGUUGCCUCUUUCAGCCUGAUCUAAGUUCUCCUUGUUGCAUUGUGAAACCGGUCCAACACACCAAACUUUACCACCUCUAACCUUUCCAAAUUCAUUCACAUACGCCCUUUCCAAUUCCUCAAAAGUGUUAACCACAACCCCAUAUACUGCUUGCUCCAUUUCUCUUAUUGAACUAUGAAUAUCUCUAGAGUCACUCAUUAGGAUAGCAUUAGGCAGCUGACCCUUUGUCAACACAACCCGAUCAGGCAAACCAGGCACCACAAACGGCUCGGAAUCCGACAAACUUUCAUGAAUUUUAGCAGCAAGUAUAUUGUGCGUGCACAAAAGAGAAAAACAACUGGUCCCAUCAAAGACAAGCCUUGGGAUUUCAAAAUUCAUAGCAGUCUGAUGAGUCCACGCUACAUAUUUAUCAGAAAUUAUGCAACUUGGAGGAGGCAGCAACUUACUAAGCAUUUGUUCCACUGGUGCUUGAAGCAUAUUAAUGCCAAUUAGUAGAUUUUUGAACAAGUCACGCGAAGGGAGGGUGUCCAUGCUUUCACACCCUGGAGGCAAGCCUACCGCUUCAGAAGGGAAUGGAACUUUUAGGAGUUGGAUUUUAAACCCGGAUUCCACUGCUCUUUCAAUAACCAUCUCGAACCGAGCAGCAUUGAAGGGAGUGGUGAUUAUGGUAACUGUAACACCAUGUUGUGCCAACAGUCUAGCCAUGUCAACAAGGGGAAUCAUGUGGCCUAGGGCUAAGUGGGGAAGCAAAACAAACUGAAGCAGCUGGUUUCGAGAAGCCAUUAUAAUUGGGGUUGUUACAGUGGCAAAUCAAAUAUGCAAAGGAAAAUCUGCUGCUGUCUUGAGACAAUCAGACCCCCAAUCUAGAGUGGUCUUUAACGCACUUUUGCUUGGUUUCGGCUUUCAUCCACCUUCCCAGUAGGCUUCCUUCAAUUCUUCCAACAUGGGAAAAUAGGAAGCAAAAGUUUGCUGAACUUCAUAAGCUUGGCACAAGUUACGGUAGCAAGGAUGACAUUUAAGGCCAUUGGUAUCUAAAUCCAAAUGCUGAUCACAGUUUAAAAAUUCAUCAAGUAAUUCCCCAGAUCUCUGACUACCAGUUCUUUUUCCCUAAUUUUAAUUUUGAGGUCAUAACCAUCAAAAAUCAUAGUCAAUAAACAAAAAUUUAACAGCAUGCAAGGUAUUUUCACAUAUCAUUGACUCAAUUGGCUAGUGUUCAAGUCAUUGGGUUGGAAACAAUAAAUUAAUCUUGUAAAAUCUCAUGUUCUGCGUUGGUGACCCAAAAAGAGAAUGAACCCACGACAGGAAAAAACGAGUGCAAUAAACAAAUAUGGCCAAAUUCUUAGUAUGAAUGCUCUUUUCUUCUUCUUGUUGUUGUUCUUCUUCUUCUUCUUCAAAAGGGCCAAAUUCCAAAUAUGGCUAAAUUUUAUUAGGUUAUAUAACCAAUUGACCAAAACCCAGAUAGCUAAUCUCCCAACAUCACUAAUCUAAUUAUUAGUAAUUGACAUUAACUUCCAAGAUUGCAUGAUAAAGCAAGAACAAACAGUUUGCCUACAUAAAAAUUCCAAAAACGCAGAGAAAAUCAAAAGAAAUUACCUGUUUGGUUGUAAUUUCCUUACAGCUCUAGAUUGAAAGAUGGGAAAACAUAUCCACAGUAAAUCUCCAUCUCUGCCUCAUUUCAUAACUUAUUUAAAAUUUCAUUAGUCAAUUAGACUGGUGGUUGAAUGGUUUUUUUGCUGCAAUUUCAAUGAGUACAUGUUGAUGCUAGAAACUUGGAGUUCAGGAUCAGAUUCACACAAUAAGCUUUAUUUCCCACCUUGACUUUCAGUGCAUUCUUGUUCUUGCUUUGAGUCAAG